rnacentral:misc_RNA from 1 species
GCCCCGUAGUCAAAACAAAAAAAAUGCGAUAGAAACAUUGGAAAAGCCUUUCUAUAUUAAUAUAAUAUAAUGAAAAUGAAAAUAUUAUACCUUUAAUCGAUAUAAUUUGAGGUACUUGGAUCAUAGAAUGACUUGAUACGUCCUUUUCUUGACCUUCCCUCAUCAUUUACCCUCACUUCAUUUUGUAAGAGUUAAUUUCCGAAGAAGAGCCUCAUGCCGUCCCGUGCUGAAGAUAUUCUCAAGGGGUUUCGCGUCAAUUGGAUGAAUCUAAGAGAUGCGGAUACGGGGAAAAUCCUUUGGCAAGGGAACGCGGAUCUUUCAGUCCCAGAGGUUGAACACGAAGCUCGAGUGCCAAAAAAGAUACUCAAAUGCCGUGCCGUGUCAAGAGAAAUCAAUUUCUCAUCUUCCGAGCCUAUGGAAAAAUUUAGAUUAGAACAAAAAGUGCUUUAUAGGGGUCGUUGUCUAGAGGAAUGGAACUUUGACUUUGGAUUCGUCAUUCCAAACUCCACAAAUACUUGGCAAAGUCUAAUAGAAGCUGCCCCAGAGUCACAAAUGAUGCCCGCUCGAGUCCUUAAUGGAAAUGUUGUGAUUGAGACCAAGUUCUUUGAUGAUAAUUUAGAAGUGUCUACUUCUAAAGUUAGACUUUACUACGUUUAAAAAAUAAAUUAGUUUCACUCCCAACCCUACCCCAAUUCACAUUUAUAUUACAUGUACUUAUUUCCGUCCACAUCCAAUGGCCUCCUUCCUAGAAAAUAAUCUUCCCUCUUUUGCUGUUGUUGUUGGAGAAGAGGGAGAUGUCGUGAAUGGACGGCAGAUGCCACAGAAAAAGUCAUCUUAUACCGAUAAAAGGUUAAUUGCAUUUGAUGAUAUAUUUCAACGAAUAAUAUCUGGGGUUCAUAUAUUGAAAGCUCGGAGGAUUGAGGAUUGGGAUCAUGCUCUUUGUUGGAGGAGAGCGAAAGAAUUUGAAACUCGAACAAAGAGACAUAAUUUUGAGUUGAAGCAAAAAGUACAUAUGGUCAAGUCAAAAGGAUGCUCAAAUAAUUCCAUGCAUUGCAAUCAAGCCCUUCGUGUUGGAAGAAAUAUAUUAACAUCCUAUAUUCACUACCUUCCUUUAUCCUCUAACCAACUCAGUCCUGACGGGAUUCUUACUUCGUUUAAUCUCUUAAUUGAUCUUUUUGAUAAAUUUGAGGGUGGAGAAUCAUUGAUUCAUAAAAUAGAAGAGAUAAAAGAGCUGAUUGGAAAAGACAGUAUUGACACUAAAAGUAAGGAUGCCAAAAAAUUAAUUGCUGAUCUUGCUCUACUCAAAUUUGGAAAAAAACCAAAUCCUAUUAAAAAUGUCAAAAGUAAUGUCCUGCUGCAGGAACGAAUACAACGCUCCAGAUCAAUACGCUAUGGGAAUUUAAAAAAUAAUUUACGUAGUUCCAAGGAAGAUAAUUAUAAACAAACAGCUCAGAUAUCCUCUCUGCCUCAGGAGGAACCAUCCUUCAGUAGAUCUCAAUCAAAUAACGAUCAAUUCUCGGUAAAACUUUUGCUUUCCCGCAUUGCUGAACUUGAAUCUGGCAUCGAGAACGUAAUGGUCAACUCCAGUAGUGUUAGUUAUAUUAAAAAUAAAAAUGGGCCUCUUUCUGAAAUGAAAGACGAGGAUAUUUCCAAAGGAACCUCGUCAGUGGAUAUAACUGAUACUUCUCUCAAGGAAAUACAAUCACUCUGGAAGCCUGGAACCCAUAUGUGCGACUUUUUACAAAUAGAACUGUGCAUUAAUCAAAUUCUAGAUGAAAUUUUGUUGGAGUUAUCGGAAGAAAUGACUUCACCCACGUUGAUAUUUGAUAUUCUUAAAAGAGAGCUUUUGUAAAGGUUAUUGAUUUGAAUUCAUGUAUUUUUCUUCUUCUUUCAAAUAACGUCUUUGCAAUUGAUUUAAUUAUUUCAUGUUUUUUAGUAUAUAAUUAUAUAUAUAUGUUAUAUAUAUUCUCUACAAUGAUCAUAGAUUGAUCUGUUUUGCAAGAUUAUAGUUUCAAUCGACCGGUGAUUCACUUAUUUGACAUGUAUAAUUUUCCCCUCUGAAUUGACUACACAUCAUUCUAUUCUUGAAAAGAAUCAAUUCUUUUCAAUAAAUCAGAAAUUGCCAACUUUUUUUAUUUAUUAUUAAUAUAUUCAGUAUCUCGGGUGUACCAAUGAGGUUUUGUUUUUAUCUAUGUUUACAUCCGCGUGGCUUAUAUUUGAAUCUUGCAAAUACAAUUUUUAUGCAUA